rnacentral:tRNA from 1 species
UCUUUCUUAGCUUAAGAAUUUAGAGCGUUAGUUUGAAGAGCUAAAGACACUUGGUAGGAAGAG